ensembl:lncRNA
CCAUGGUGUUGCAUCUGUUCCAUGUGUUACAGUGAUGGAAAGUUUGCAGAAGAAAAUGAUCCGGGAAAAAUACCAUGCAGAAAAAGCAGCAGCUCAGAUUGCAACAGCCAGUGUACUUUGUUGGCAUUGUGAAAUACAGCAUAACAAAACCUACAGCUCCGUGGAAGAUACCCUGCAACACCAGCCAUUUUCUGCCUAUCGCUGUGUCAUCUGAGCCAUCCUUAGUUCAUUUGCUCAUUGAUGUUAUUUUUCUCAGUGCCUGUGAAACCAGGAAUGGCAUGCAGUAUGCUUGGAAUUUGUCCAGGUUCCUGUUGAGAUAGUAGAAUGGAAAGAAAAUAAAAAGUACACUGACCCAAUUUACCCAACUAAAUGUAUUGGGCCAUGACAAGAAAUGAAAUGAACAUGUUUAUUGUUGAAUCAUUUUUCAGGUGAAGCGGCUUAGGACAAUAUAUUAUAAAUGGAGCUGGAGAUCAGGGACUAAAGACUUCUCAUCAGGGUGUCUAUUAACUUCAAAGGGUGCUUUAUGUUCCAUGCAUCAAAUAUUUAAAAGAAGAAGACUCUUAAAAAAAAAAUAAAAAUUCUACUUAAUUUCAUUUCACUGAAAGUUUACGUCCACUUUUUUUGUACCUGUUUCAAAUCAAAAAGAACACCAGUGAGUCUAUUUUUUCCUUUCCAUACCAGCUACCUACAUAUAGGAUUUAGGGAGUGUGUGGCCCUUGCUCUCAAGCAUGAGUAGAAAUACAUCUGGCUGCAUCUGAAAGUGCUAAGAAACACAACAGCACAAGGGUUUGUUUUUCAGAUGCAGAGUGGAGGAUGCACUUAAAACCAGAUAAUCAUCUAGACUGAACAGCCUGUGCUUAACUUUGGCUCCCCCACACCUGUGCCAUUCUUUGUACUAUGCCAGGUGAUGCCCUGUUCCAGCAGUGAGUGUGCCAAGGGGUUGGGUGCUCUAUUGUUGGAUCUGUAUCCCAAGAAGGACCAAACAAACCCUGUGAUCUCUG